AGGUUGUGUUAGACUGUGGAGCAGUUCAAGCAGAUGCUUUGAUAGUUGAUCCUAUUGCCUCCUUGGAAAAGUAUUCCCAAAUGUCAGUACUACCCCAGGCAUCAGUUUUAGCAACCGAAGUUCAGUGGCUGAACUCUAUCAAGGCUGACUUAGUGAUUUCAGAUGUUGUCCCUAU